rnacentral:rRNA from 1 species
ACGAACGCUGGCGGCGUGCUUAACACAUGCAAGUCGCACGGAAAGGCCCUGCUUUUGUGGGGUGCUCGAGUGGCGAACGGGUGAGUAACACGUGAGUAACCUGCCCUUGACUUUGGGAUAACUUCAGGAAACUUGGGCUAAUACCGGAUAGGAGCUCCUGCUGCAUGGUGGGGGUUGGAAAGUUUCGGCGGUUGGGGAUUGACUCGCGGCUUAUCAGCUUGUUGGUGGGGUAGUGGCUUACCAAGGCUUUGACGGGUAGCCGGCCUGAGAGGGUGACCGGCCGCAUUGGGACUGAGAUACGGCCCAGACUCCUACGGGAGGCAGCAGUGGGGAAUAUUGCACAAUGGGCGGAAGCCUGAUGCAGCAACGCCGCGUGCGGGAUGACGGCCUUCGGGUUGUAAACCGCUUUCGCCUGUGACGAAGCGUGAGUGACGGUAAUGGGUAAAGAAGCACCGGCUAACUACGUG